ACUACGGGAGGCUGCAGUGGGGAAUAUUGCACAAUGGGGGGAACCCUGAUGCAGCGACGCCGCGUGAGCGAAGAAGUAUUUCGGUAUGUAAAGCUCUAUCAGCAGGGAAGAAAAUGACGGUACCUGACUAAGAAGCCCCGGCUAACUACGUGCCAGCAGCCGCGGUAAUACGUAGGGGGCAAGCGUUAUCCGGAUUUACUGGGUGGAAAGGGAGCGCAGACGGCUGUGCAAGUCUGGAGUGAAAGGCGGGGGCCCAACCCCCGGACUGCUCUGGAAACUGUAAAGCUGGAGUGCAGGAGAGGUAAGCGGAAGUCCUAGUGUAGCGGUGAAAUGCGUAGAUAUUAGGAGGAACACCAGUGGCGAAGGCGGCUUACUGGACUGCAACUGACGUUGAGGCUCGAAAGCGUGGGGAGCAAACAGGAUUAGAUACCCUGGUAGUC
rnacentral:rRNA from 1 species